GAUGAACGCUGACAGAAUGCUUAACACAUGCAAGUCAACUUGAACUUCGGUUUGGGUGGCGGACGGGUGAGUCACGCGUAAAGAACUUGCCUCACAGAUAGGGACAACAUUUGGAAACGAAUGCUAAUACCUGAUAUUAUGAUUAUAUGGCAUCGUAUAAUUAUGAAAGCUAUAUGCGCUGUGAGAGAGCUUUGCGUCCCAUUAGCUAGUUGGAGAGGUAACGGCUCACCAAGGCGAUGAUGGGUAGCCGGCCUGAGAGGGUGAUCGGCCACAAGGGGACUGAGACACGGCCCUUACUCCUACGGGAGGCAACAGUGGGGAAUAUUGGACAAUGGACCAAGAGUCUGAUCCAGCAAUUCUGUGUGCACGAUGAAGUUUUUCGGAAUGUAAAGUGCUUUCAGUUGGGAAGAAAAAAAUGACGGUACCAACAGAAGAAGUGACGGCUAAAUACGUG
rnacentral:rRNA from 1 species